rnacentral:rRNA from 1 species
ACUCCUACGGGAGGCAGCAGUGGGGAAUCUUGCGCAAUGGGCGAAAGCCUGACGCAGCGACGCCGCGUGAGUGAUGAAGGCCUUCGGGUUGUAAAGCUCUGUAGGAGGGGGACGAAUAAGGGUUGGCUAACAAUCCAGCUCGAUGACGGUACCCUUUAGCAAGCACCGGCUAACUACUGUGCCAGCAGCCGCGGUAAU